ensembl:snoRNA small nucleolar RNA, C/D box 126
GGUUUGCCGUGAUGAAAUGCAUGUGAAGUCCGUGUUUCAGCUGAUCACCCUGAUUAAACACAUGCUCUGAGCAGACU